UACCAGCACCCCGAGUGGUCGGGACGUUUAUUGGGCCUAAAGCAUCCGUAGCCGGUUCUACAAGUCUUCCGUUAAAUCCACCUGCUUAACAGAUGGGCUGCGGAAGAUACUAUAAGACUAGGAGGCAGGAGAGGCAAGCGGUACUCAGUGGGUAGGGGUAAAAUCCGUUGAUCCAUUGAAGACCACCAGUGGCGAAGGCGGCUUGCCAGAAUGCGCUCGACGGUGAGGGAUGAAAGCUGGGGGAGCAAACCGG
rnacentral:rRNA from 1 species